rnacentral:rRNA from 1 species
AGAGAGAAGCUUGCUUCUCUUGAGAGCGGCGGACGGGUGAGUAAUGCCUAGGAAUCUGCCUGGUAGUGGGGGAUAACGUUCGGAAACGGACGCUAAUACCGCAUACGUCCUACGGGAGAAAGCAGGGGACCUUCGGGCCUUGCGCUAUCAGAUGAGCCUAGGUCGGAUUAGCUAGUUGGUGGGGUAAUGGCUCACCAAGGCGACGAUCCGUAACUGGUCUGAGAGGAUGAUCAGUCACACUGGAACUGAGACACGGUCCAGACUCCUACGGGUGGCAGCAGUGGGGAAUAUUGGACAAUGGGCGAAAGCCUGAUCCAGCCAUGCCGCGUGUGUGAAGAAGGUCUUCGGAUUGUAAAGCACUUUAAGUUGGGAGGAAGGGCAGUUACCUAAUACGUAAUUGUUUUGACGUUACCGACAGAAUAAGCACCGGCUAACUCUGUGCCAGCAGCCGCGGUAAUACAGAGGGUGCAAGCGUUAAUCGGAAUUACUGGGCGUAAAGCGCGCGUAGGUGGUUUGUUAAGUUGGAUGUGAAAUCCCCGGGCUCAACCUGGGAACUGCAUUCAAAACUGACUGACUAGAGUAUGGUAGAGGGUGGCGGAAUUUCCUGUGUAGCGGUGAAAUGCGUAGAUAUAGGAAGGAACACCAGUGGCGAAGGCGACCACCUGGACUAAUACUGACACUGAGGUGCGAAAGCGUGGGGAGCAAACA